ACGUAGGGGGCAAGCGUUGAUCGGAAUCACUGGGCGUAAAGCGCACGUAGGCGGACUCUUAAGUCGGGGGUGAAAUCCUGGAGCUCAACUCCAGAACUGCCUUCGAUACUGAGAGACUUGAGUCCGGGAGAGGGGAGUGGAACUCCGAGUGUAGAGGUGAAAUGCGUAGAUAUCCGCAAGAACACCAGUGGCGAAGGCGGCUAACUGGACCGGUACUGACGCUGAGGUGCGAAAGCGUGGGGAGCAAACAG
rnacentral:rRNA from 1 species